rnacentral:tRNA from 1 species
GUUGUGGCUGAGUGGUAGAGUGCUUGCCUAGCAUGUGGGAGGCACUGGGUUCGAUCCUCAGCACGACA